rnacentral:rRNA from 1 species
GACGAACGCUGGCGGCGUGCUUAACACAUGCAAGUCGAACGGGUCUGCCCUGUUUUUUGCGGGGUGGGUCAGUGGCGAACGGGUGAGUAACACGUGAGUAACCUGCCCCUCACUUCUGGAUAACCGCUUGAAAGGGUGGCUAAUACGGGGUGUUCUGGCUGUGCCGCAUGGUGUGGCUGGGAAAGAUUCACUUUUGUGGUGUUUUGGUGGGGGAUGGGCUCGCGGCCUAUCAGCUUGUUGGUGGGGUGAUGGCCUGCCAAGGCUUUGACGGGUAGCCGGCCUGAGAGGGUGGGCGGUCACACGGGGACUGAGAUACGGCCCAGACUCCUGCGGGAGGCAGCAGUGGGGGGUAUUGCACAAUGGGCGGAAGCCUGAUGCAGCGACGUCGCGUGAGGGAUGGAGGCCUUCGGUUUGUGAACCUCUUUCGCCGGUGAAGAAGGUCCUGCUCUUUGUGGUGGGGUUGACGGUAGCCGGGUUAUGAAGCGCCGGCUAACUACGUG